GAUGAACGCUAGCGGCAGGCCUAAUACAUGCAAGUCGAACGGGUGGUCGCAAGACCACUAGUGGCGCACGGGUGCGUAACGCGUAACCAACCUGCCCCGAUCUGGGGGAUAGCCCGCCGAAAGGCGGAUUAAUACCGCAUAUACCCGCAGCCUGGCAUCAGGCAACGGGGAAAGAUUUAUUGGAUCGGGAUGGGGUUGCGUGACAUUAGCUAGUUGGCGGGGUAAGGGCCCACCAAGGCGACGAUGUCUAGGGGACCUGAGAGGGUGAUCCCCCACACUGGCACUGAGAUACGGGCCAGACUCCUACGGGAGGCAGCAGUAGGGAAUAUUGGGCAAUGGGCGAGAGCCUGACCCAGCCAUGCCGCGUGCCGGAUGAAGGCCUUCUGGGUUGUAAACGGCUUUUCUCAGGGAAGAAAAAGACCUUGCGAGGUACACUGACGGUACCUGAGGAAUAAGCACCGGCUAACUCC
rnacentral:rRNA from 1 species